GAUGAACGCUGGCGGCGUGCCUAAUACAUGCAAGUAGAACGCUGAAGCUUGGUGCUUGCCCCGAGCGGAUGAGUUGCGAACGGGUGAGUAACGCGUAGGUAACCUGCCUCUUAGCGGGGGAUAACUAUUGGAAACGAUAGCUAAUACCGCAUAAAAGUCGAUAUCGCAUGAUAUUGAUUUGAAAGGUGCAAAUGCAUCACUAAGAGAUGGACCUGCGUUGUAUUAGCUAGUUGGUGAGGUAACGGCUCACCAAGGCGACGAUACAUAGCCGACCUGAGAGGGUGAUCGGCCACACUGGGACUGAGACACGGCCCAGACUCCUACGGGAGGCAGCAGUAGGGAAUCUUCGGCAAUGGGGGCAACCCUGACCGAGCAACGCCGCGUGAGUGAAGAAGGGUUUCGGAUCGUAAAGCUCUGUUGUAAGAGAAGAACGAGUGUGAGAGUGGAAAGUUCACACUGUGACGGUAACUGACCAGAAAGGGACGGCUAACUACGUG
rnacentral:rRNA from 1 species